AUGGAAUCUUGUUGGCUAAUAUGGUUUCUGAGAAUCAUGUUUAUUAGAGUGGUUAUUAUUCAAAAAAACUUCUGCCCAUGCAGAAAGGAAGCUGCAUGUACACACUUGUUAACAUCUGUAUGCAUGAAAGCAGUGUAUGGAAAAAAUAAUAUGCAUUGCCAUGUUCUUACUAAGGUCAUGAUUUACCUCUUCCACAUCUCAUCUCUUAGUGUCUGGCUAUGUUUUUAUAUUGUUUUGGAAAAUUGCCGCCAUGAGAUCAAGUCUAAACAUUGUUCAGUCUCGCCUUAUCAUCUCGGUUCCUUCGCCUAA
rnacentral:rRNA from 1 species